UACGAAGGCCCCAAGCGUUACUCGGAUUCACUGGGCUUAAAGGGCGCGUAGGCGGAUGGCAAGGUGCCUUGUGAAAUCCAACGGCUCAACCGUUGAACUGCAGGGUAGACCUGUCGUCUUGAGGGCGAUAGGGGCAGCUGGAACUCUAGGUGGAGCGGUGAAAUGCGUAGAUAUCUAGGGGAACGCCGAUGGCGAAAGCAGGCUGCUGGAUCGUACCUAACGCUGAGGCGCGAAAGCGUGGGGAGUAAACGGG
rnacentral:rRNA from 1 species